rnacentral:rRNA from 1 species
UACAGAGGGUGCGAGCGUUGUUCGGAAUUAUUGGGCGUAAAGGGCGCGUAGGCGGCGCCACAAGUCACUUGUGAAAACUCUGGGCUCAACUCAGAGCCUGCAAGCGAAACUGUGGUGCUGGAGUAUGGGAGAGGUGCGUGGAAUUCCCGGUGUAGCGGUGAAAUGCGCAGAUAUCGGGAAGAACACCCGUGGCGAAGGCGGCUCUCUGGAACGCAACUGACGCUGAGACGCGAAAGCGUGGGGAGCGAACAGG